AUAAAUUUGAAAACAUUUUUUUUUGUUUAUAAAAAUUUAUGAAAAAUGAUAAAAGAUUUUAAUUUUAAUUUUUUUAAAAUUAGUAGUUAUAAAAGGUUAUUUAAUAUUUUAAUCUUUUAAUUUAUAUUUAUAGUAUAAUAAUAGUUAAUAGUGUGCCAGCAUCUGCGGUUAUACAAUUAUUAAUAAAAAUUUAUUUGUAUAAAAAUUUUAUUAAAUAUUUAUUUUAAAAGUAAAAUUUAAUAUUUUUUAUUUAUUUGUUUUUUAUUAUUAAAGAAAACAAGGAUUAGAUACCCUUUUAUAUAAUUUUAAGUAGUAAAAGAAUUUCUGUAAACUUAAGAAAUUUGGCGGUUUUUUAUCUAUUCAGAGGAUUUUAUUUUAUAAUAGAUAAUGCUCAUUUAUUUUUUUUCUAUAUUUUUUAAUUUAUAUACCGUUGUUUAAUUAAUUAUAUUAAUUAUAAAAAUAAUAUUUAGUAUUUUAGAUUAAGGUGUAAUUUAUAAUAUAGUAAAAGUAAAUACUUUAUUGUUUAUUUGGAUUAAUAUUUUAUUAUAUUAUAAAUUAGGAUUUGAUAAUAAUUUUAUUAAUUAAAGAUAUUAUAUGAAAUAGUAAUAAAAAAUGUACAUAUUGCCCGUCACUCUUUUUAAAAGAUAAGUCGUAACAAAGUUAAUAUACUGGAAAGUAUAUUUUGUUAUAAUGAAAGCUUUUAGAA
rnacentral:rRNA from 1 species